rnacentral:rRNA from 1 species
UCCCAGACUCCUACGGGAGGCAGCAGUGGGGAAUAUUGGGCAAUGGGCGCAAGCCUGGCCCAGCAACGCCGCGUGAAGGAAGAGGGCUUUCGGGUUGUAAACUUCUUUUAAGAGGGAAGAGUAGAAGACGGUACCUCUUGAAUAAGCCACGGCUAACUACGUGCCAGCAGCCGCGGUAAUACGUAGGUGGCAAGCGUUGUCCGGAUUUACUGGGUGUAAAGGGCGUGUAGCCGGGUUGACAAGUCAGAUGUGAAAUCCUGCGGCUUAACCGCAGAACUGCAUUUGAAACUGUUGAUCUUGAGUACGGGAGGGGCAGGCGGAAUUCCUGGUGUAGCGGUGAAAUGCGUAGAUAUCAGGAGGAACACCGGCGGCGAAGGCGGCCUGCUGGACCGUGACUGACGUUGAGGCUCGAGAGCGUGGGGAGCAAACAGGAUUAGAUACCCUCGUA